rnacentral:rRNA from 1 species
UACGUAGGGUCCGAGCGUUGUCCGGAAUUAUUGGGCGUAAAGGGCUCGUAGGCGGUGUGUCGCGUCGGUCGUGAAAACUUGGGGCUUAACCCUGAGCUUGCAGUGGGUACGGGCAGACUAGAGUGCGGUAGGGGAGACUGGAAUUCCUGGUGUAGCGGUGAAAUGCGCAGAUAUCAGGAGGAACACCGGUGGCGAAGGCGGGUCUCUGGGCCGUAACUGACGCUGAGGAGCGAAAGCAUGGGGAGCGAACAGG